rnacentral:lncRNA from 1 species
UCUACGCUCAAGGACUAAUCACCACCAGAUCCAUAGAAAUCCAUGUUUUCUUGCCACUUAACGUGUCUAUGGGUGGCCAAGGAGAACCAAGGGCGGAAGCUCCAGCCGGAGCCCAGAGCGGAAGCUCCAGCCAGCCGGAGCCCAGAGCGGAAGCUCCAGCCAGCCGGAGCCCAGAGCGGAAGCUCCAGCCAGCCGGAGCCCAGAGCGGAAGCUCCAGCCAGCCGGAGCCCAGAGCGGAAGCUCCAGCCAGCCGGAGCCCAGAGCGGAAGCUCCAGCCAGCCGGAGCCCAGAGCGGAAGCUCCAGCCAGCCGGAGCCCAUGACAGAAGCUCUAACCGGAACUCUUUUAUCACUAGGCCAAGACCACUUGCUUACGUUUUUGUAGGUUAUGUUUCCUUUUUUUUUGUAUAAAGUAUCUGCCAUAUAGUUUAAUAAUUUAACUUAUUUCUUUCCUUUUUCACCAAAACUAAAACAUCUUUUAUUGUUCUUGUAAUUUGUUUUACUUUUUGCAGAUAUGCUUCUAUAAAAAAAAAAUCUUGUUAUGUUUUCGCCCCACCAAAACCUCACUUGACAAAAUUCAAAACUACUUAUUUCUUCAUUACCACUAUCAUUUUGAUUUACUUUUUAUUUUUUGGUACAACUUUUUAUAUAAUAACAAUCAAAUGCAUGUUUAAUCAUUUUAGACAACGAACUUUGUAUGUUUAUUUUAUUGAGAUUAUCAUCAUUUCAAGUGUGAUAAUAAUAUAUAUUUUGAAUUUAUUUUAUUAAAUAUAUAAUAAUAUUUUAUUUAAAUUAUGACUCCAGUUAAAUUAUUUUUCUGAAUCUGUCAUUGAACUGCCACAAUUAAAUAUCAGAAAUCAAGUUAGUGGGUUUAGUUCACUUAAAUUCAGUGGCACAUUUGGUGUAAAUAUCCUUUAUUGCCCCCCUAACAUGCGUUAAAGUCCACUCUCUGACCCAAACAUUUAAUCUAUACUAUUAAAGCAAAAUUACUAUUAAGAUUUUGCCCUUAAUUUUUAAAGUUAUUUACAAGAGAAUGUCACUCCUAAAUUUAUGCUAUAUACGGGUUAUAUAGAAAUCGUCGGAUUUUUUGUUCGACCACAGAUCUAAGCCGGAUAUGGAAACACUGCUUGAAACUCAAAACAACUUUCAUUUUUUUUUAUAAAAAAUUAUAAAUUCAUACAUAUUUUAUCAAAACUAUCACCAGAAAAUUGGUUAUUUAGUUUUUGUAGGUUACGUUUCUUUUUUGUAUAAAGUAUCUGCCACAUAUUUUUUUCUUUCGUUUUUUACUAAAAUUAAAACAUCGUUUAUUAUUGUUCCUGUAAUUUGUUUUAUUUCUUGCAGAUAUGCUUCGACAAAUUAUUUUUUCUUCUUGUUAUAUUUUCACCUCACCAAAACCUCAUUUGACAAUAUUCAAAACUACUUAUUUCUUCUUUACCACUAUCAAUUUUAUUUUUUGGUACAAUUUUUUAUAUAAUAACAAUCAAAUGCAUGUUUAAUAAUCUUAGACAAUGAAUUUUUAUAUGUUUAUUAUAUUGAUUAUAUCAUCAUUUAAAGUGUGAUAAUAAUAUUUUUUUAAAAAAAUUUAUUAUAUUAAAUAUAUAAUAUCAUUUUAUUUAAUUAUGUCCCCGGGUAAAUUAUCUUCUGAAUUCGCCACUGGAAGGAAAUUAGAGAUAUGGAUUAGGACCACUAGGAGAAGUAGUAGCAACAAAGUUCCAAACGACAAGUAGUGAGUGCAAAGAAAAUAUCUAUACACCGUAUGGAAAAAAAUGAUCUCAUAAAGCAACGUAGAUGGUAUCAUGUCGUAGCGAUAUCUGGGUAAAUCAUUUCGUUAUUAAUGUUAUCUUUAUCGAUGUAUCUAAGCCAGGAUUAUCUAAAUGUGUUAGAAGGAUUUGUACCACUGCGACAUGAUACCAUCCAGGUUGUAUCCAAACCAUAAGAGUCCACGAAACAACUAGACAUCCAAUAAUUGGAGAGUGGGAUCUUGUAGGCAUUUUUUGUUCCCUUCGGAGCCAUACAGAAAGAGAUCAUAUUUUCAGUAGCAAGCAUCUUUCAAACGACGACAAGGCAGAUCCGUCAAAUCACAUAGCAGUUAAUCUAGCCUAGUUUAAUGUCAUAAUAAUUGUACACUGUUCAUGCUUCUUUAGUAUAUACUCACUCUGUUGUAUUUUAAUUAUCAUUUUAGAUUUAAACGCACAG